rnacentral:rRNA from 1 species
GACGAACCGUGCGAACGUUGUUCGGAAUCACUGGGCUUAAAGGGCGCGUAGGCGGACGACCAAGUCGGGGGUGAAAUCUUUCGGCUCAACCGGAAAAUAGCUUUCGAUACUGGCCGUCUGGAGGGAGGUAGGGGCGUGUGGAACUUCCGGUGGAGCGGUGAAAUGCGUUGAUAUCGGAAGGAACUCCGGUGGCGAAAGCGACACGCUGGAUCUCAUCUGACGCUGAGGCGCGAAAGCCAGGGGAGCGAACGGG